ACAGAGACUGCAAGCGUUAUUCGGAUUCACUGGGCGUAAAGGGUGCGCAGGCGGCCGUGUGUGUUAGGCGUGAAAGCCUGAGGCUCAACCUCAGAAUUGCACCUAAAACUACACGGCUAGAGUACUGGAGAGGGUAGCGGAAUUCACGGUGUAGCAGUGAAAUGCGUAGAUAUCGUGAGGAACACCAAUGGCGAAGGCAGCUACCUGGACAGUUACUGACGCUCAGGCACGAAAGCGUGGGGAGCAAAAGGGAUUAGAUACCCCUGUAGUCCACGCCCUAAACGGUGCACACUAGGUCUUGGCGGAUUCGACCCCGUCAGGGCCCAAGCUAACGCGUUAAGUGUGCCGCCUGAGGACUACGGCCGCAAGGCUA
rnacentral:rRNA from 1 species